AGCCAUAUUCGUGGAGCAGGCGCCCGUGAGGGCCUUUGAGGGAAGCCGGUGCGAACCCGGCGCGGUCCCGCCGCUGUGAACGGGGACGAAAGCCGCCACCAAGCCACUGCCCGGCCCAACCGGGUGGGAAGGCGCGGCCUUUAGGACGAUCCGUCAGCCAGAAGACCUGCCGCUCCACCAAAGGCCGCC
rnacentral:ncRNA from 18 species